GGUAAUGGGACGUUAAUUGGGGCGUCAUGCAACGUCGUGUGCGCAGGUUUGUCAGAGCAACAUGGAUACAAGUUAACAUUCAUGGAGUUUUUCAAGGUUGGGUUCCCAAUGAUGAUAGUGUCGGUUACCGUGGCGAUGCUGUAUUUAAUCAUUUGUCAUGUUGUCAUUGGCUGGAAUGGACCAUACGUGUGACUGUUGCUCCACUCAACAUAUUAUAGUGACUGGUAUCAUAAUUAUGGUAGCUACAGUUUUACCUAUGCAGGAUUUUCUUUUGCUGGUUUUUACUUAUAUUUAAUUUUUAUUAACCAAAUCUUUCCCAGAAAUGAGUCAUGAGUAAAAUCAUUGACAUACAGUGUACAUAUAAAGUCUUUAGCAUAGUGGUAAGGCUGUUAAGAGCCCACAAUUAUGUUUUUAUCAGAUAUGCUUGUGAGAUGCAAGCAAGUAACGUCUUCAAUACCAGAAAUCCAAACGUUAACAAUCCAAAGUUUAGCGCACACCAGGGUGGCAUCUCAUGCACAUGGCAAGAUUAUGGUUUGCCUGAUAUCAAACUAACAUCAAUUAUCUAGGGUUAAUUAGUUAGUUAUCUUUUUUGUGUGCAUAUGUGUGGGUAAGGAGGGGUUGUAGGGGCAUUUACUGUUAUUGCUAUUUUACAUAUGACAUACAUCAUGUAACAGUUAUAGCGAAAAGCUACUCAACUGUAAAUCUAUAUUUUUUUUAACUGUGGAAUUCAAACGUGUAAUACACGGAAGCAUUUGGUAUGGAGAUUGAUAUUUUCGCAAAGUAUUAUUGUUAUCGUGUUGUAUAGUUAUUGCAGUAUUCUGCAUUUGUAGUCACUUGUUUCUGGAUAUUUGUCAAGACAUGGGUGCUAUUGCAAAAACUGUUGUGGUAGGAGGCAUUGCUCAGAGAUUUUAUACUGCUGACUACCAAUAUAUUUCCUGUACAAUUAGGGAAACCAAGGUCAUCUACCUAUAGUCUUGAGAAAAUGUGUGAUUCACAUUUUCGCUAGCAACGAACCAACUAAUAUCAAAUGCGAUCACUUAUGUUACGCAACAUAGCUAGGUUCUGCACAUUAAGCCUAUCAAAGGCCUUGUAUUACUUUUUGUCGUUUACUAAUUUUGUUAUAAAACGAGUUUAUCCAUAAGUUACUUCAAUCGCCUGAACGAUUUAUGUUCUGAACGUUGAAGAACGUAAAAUACCAACUUGAAAUAUAAAACAUUUUCCGCAUAUAUAUAUAUAUAUAUACAUAUAUAUACUACGCACAUCGACACAGGUAUAAAUGUAUGGGAACGGGGUGUUUUGCUGGUAUUUAUGAGGUAUCUAGUUUUUAGUUAUGCUGUUCUUCAAAUUAUGUACAUAGUGUUUACUAGUUGGCAAGUCAUAACGGUAACGUGUUUUUAUACUAACAUCAGUUUUCAAUGCACUAGCUAGAUCUUAUGUCAAUUAUUAAGUGAUAUAAAUAAAACUGCUUUGAAGAUAUGUGUUGACAAUUUA